GUGCGUGCCUUCCAUCGUGUGGGAUGACAAAGAAUUGGAGAUAUCCUCUGCAGGGUCUUCUGAAGCGGUCAAGAUGUCUUCAACAUGCCUGUUCCAGAAGCAAUGGAGGAAUCAGAGAGGAGGAAUGGAUUUGUUGUCACACCACCAUCCACCAUCCGCCAUCCAGCUCUUUGACCCGGAGAGUAAUGCAAAGAAAAGGAGACCCAGAUCAAUUUGAAUCGUUUCAAAGAAAGAGAAGCCGCUGUCUGGGCCCACAUGUGAAAGGCCAGGCUGGAUUAAGGUAUCAUCGUGAUGGUAUGCUGCCCUAUGGACAGACAGGCAGGAAGAAGACCUAAAUCCCUGUCUGGAGCAGAGCAAGGUCUC
ensembl:lncRNA